rnacentral:rRNA from 1 species
CGGGGUGAGUAAUGCUUGGGAAUCUAGCUUAUGGAGGGGGAUAACUACGGGAAACUGUAGCUAAUACCGCGUAGAAUCGAGAGAUGAAAGUGUGGGACCUUCGGGCCACGUGCCAUAGGAUGAGCCCAAGUGGGAUUAGGUAGUUGGUGAGGUAAAGGCUCACCAAGCCGACGAUCUCUAGCUGGUCUGAGAGGAUGACCAGCCACACUGGGACUGAGACACGGCCCAG